rnacentral:tRNA from 1 species
GGAGAGUUGUCCGAGCUGGCCGAAGGAGCACCAUUGGAAAUGGUGUAAACGGGCAAAAACCUGUUUCGAGGGUUCGAAUCCCUCACUCUCCG